UGUUUGGCUCAGAGAGGAAGGACAAUGUGUUUCAACAUCCCUUGCUUUAAAAAAAAGAAAAGAAAAGUGUAUUUAUUUUCACUGAGAAGAAGAAACCAACUAACUGUGGAGGUUAAACAGAUAGGGAGAGUUCAUUUUUCUUCUACAGGUCAAGAGGCCAGUUAAUGAUUAGUGCCACCCAAGCGGGUGUUUGGUGUCCAAAACUUUGAGAGGCUGGCUUGUAGGAGUCGGCUUCACCCCAGCUCUGAGAAUUGCAGCUCAGCGAUGCCCCCAGGUCUCAGGAAGAUACAGUUCUGCUCAUGGGGGCUCCUUUUGUGGCUCAGCAUUGGAAGUGCAGGAGAUGCACCUCCUACCCCACAGACAAAGUGCACUAACUUCCAGAACGCUAAUCUUCUCCAAGGCACCAAUCUCAAAGUCCAGUUUCUCCUCUUCACCCCUUUGGCUCCCAGCUGUGGGCAGCUAGUGCAGGAAAGUAGUGACAUCCAAAACUCUGGGUUCAAUGCCACUCUAGGAACCAAACUACUCAUCCAUGGAUUCAGGGCCUUAGGUACAAAGCCUUCCUGGAUUGAUAAAUUCAUUGGCACUCUUCUUCGGGCAGCAAAUGCUAAUGUGAUUGCUGUGGACUGGGUUUAUGGUUCUACAGGUGUCUACUUCUCAGCCGUGGAAAAUGUGGUUAAGCUGGGACUUGAGAUCUCCCGUUUCCUCAGAAAACUUCUGGUGCUGGGUGUGCCGGAGUCUUCAAUCCACAUCAUUGGUGUUAGCCUGGGGGCCCACGUUGGGGGCAUGGUGGGACAUUUCUACAAAGGCCAGUUAGGACGGAUCACAGGCCUGGACCCUGCUGGACCGGAGUACACCAAAGCCAGUCUGGAGGAGCGCCUGGAUCCUGGAGAUGCCCUCUUCGUGGAGGCCAUCCACACAGACGCUGACAAUUUGGGUAUCCGGAUUCCUGUUGGACACGUGGACUACUUUGUCAAUGGAGGCCAAGACCAACCCGGCUGUCCCACCUUCAUUCAUGCAGGCUACAGUUACCUGAUCUGUGAUCACAUGAGGGCUGUGCACCUCUACAUCAGUGCCCUGGAGAAUUCCUGUCCACUCGUGGCCUUUCCCUGUGUCAACUACAAGGCCUUUCUUGCUGGACAAUGUCUGGAUUGUUUUAACCCUUUUCUGCUUUCCUGUCCAAGAAUUGGGCUGAUGGAACAAAGUGGUGUCAAGAUAGAGCCGCUUCCUAAGGAAGUGAAAGUCUUCCUCCUGACCACUGCCCGGGCUCCAUACUGUGUGCAUCACAGCCUCGUGGAGUUUUACUUGCAGGAGCCAAGAAACAAGGACACCCUCAUCUCCGUCACCUUCCUUAGCAGCAAUGUUACUUCUUUGGUCAAGAUCACCAUACCUAGACAGGAACUCCAGGGGAAAGGAGUCAUAGCUCACACCAACCCUCAGUGCCAGAUAAACCAAGUGAAACUCAAGUUUCACUCUUCCCACCGAGUUUGGAGAAAAGACCGGACCACCAUUGUUGGGAAGUUCUGCACUGCUCCUUUGCCGGUCAAUGACAAGAUUGGAGAAAACAAUGGAUGCUGAAUUCUCUGUACUAAAAUAGCAAUUGAAAAGAAGUUCUUGGAACAAGAGAGGGGAUGGAGAGCAGGGAGGAAGAUGGAAGACCCCUUACCAUUGCCUCCUCUGGAUAUCUGGAAGGUUUUGAGGAUCAGAGAGAUCUUUUGGGGACAGAAGUGGAUCUUCUUUGCAUCAGUGUUUCCCCAACUUUGUUAGAGAGAGACAGCUUCCCACUGAGCAGGGAGCCUGAUGUGGGGCUCGAUCCCAGGACUCAGAGUUCAUGACCUGAGCUGAAGGCAGAUGCUUAACGACUGGGCCACCCAGGCAUCCCUGUUCAAGACUUUUUAAAAUGUGCUUUGAAAGAAACUGAUUUGCUGAUUCCUGCUUGCCAGUAAAGGCAGGAAAAUGAUGUAAGCCACAGGCUGCAACUGUGUCACUUGAGCCGUCACCCAGCUCACCAGACCAGAGAGCUUGAGCCUUUGGGCUGCAGAAAUGCAGCAAGAGGACAGGGGACACGCUGUGAAUACUGAAAUACCUGCUUUAUUUUCUGCACCACAGUCAGGAGGACCAAUAACAUGUCUGAAGAAACUUACCCCAAUAUGCAGACAUGUGGUGAGGUCCUGGAUUAGUCAACAAACCACAGAGUGUCAGAGGAGGAAACCAGAGCCCAGAAAGAUGGAGGGAAUCACCUGAGGUCAAACAGCCACUGGAGAAACAGCACAGCCCCUCUCCCGUUCGUAUAGCACUUCCAGACCUGUGCUGCACUUCUGCUGGAUUUUAGGAACUCAAAGUGACUCUUCAUUACCUGUGACACGUGAGCUUUAGGAACUUUUUAGAGGUUAACAAGGGACAGUGUUUGCUUGGAAGUAAAUUCCUGCGGCUACCUUGAAGCUCUGGGUCUUUCCCAUGUAUCCAGGCCUGUGCCAGUAUAAACAGUUCUUAUUUUGGACAGAACCGGAGGGUGGAGAGGUAGAAAGAGAUCUAGGCAAAUAUCCAGGGAAGGAGAGCCCAUUAUGUGAACAUCUCUCUUCAAGGCCCUGGGGUCAGGCUGAGUCCAGUGAAAAGGUGCCUACUCUCUUGCAGUUACCAGCCCUCACAACUGUACAACUUCUGGUGUUCACUCAGCCCUCCUGCUCUGGACCCCAACCUCAAGAUCAUUCCUUCUCACUCUCAGCCCCAGGUUCAUUUCAGAAGCUGCCCUCUGCUGUAUUUCCUCUCUGGAGAGUACAGGGAAAUGGGCAAAACUGGAGACAGGUGAUCCCAAAACCAGAAUGUCCGUUCAUUCGUUCAUUCAUUCACUCAUGUGGCAAAUCUUUAUUGUAAGCCAACUAUGUGCCAGGCACUAUUCUGAUGGCAAUCCUCUUAAAAAUAAUUGCAAUGUAUUGAAUGCUUACUAUGUGCCAGGCAUAGUUUUAAGUCUCAUUAAACUCCCACAGCAACACAUGAGAGGGUUUUUUUUUUUUUUAAUUAUGUUAUGUUAGUCACCAUACAGGGCAUCAUUAGUUUUUGAUGUAGUGUUCCAUGAGGUUCUUUUUUUAUUGCAAACUGAAGUGCAGAGCAGUUAGGAAACCAGACAAUGAAAGUGGUGGUGCUGAAAUUCAAACCCGGGUGGUCUAGCUCCAGAACUUUGUUUUCUUAACCCUACACUAUGUUGAUGGGGCAUCCUAACUCAAUCAACGUCUACUUAUGUCA